rnacentral:rRNA from 1 species
GAUGAACGCUGGCGGCGUGCCUAAUACAUGCAAGUCGAGCGAACGGACGAGAAGCUUGCUUCUCUGAUGUUAGCGGCGGACGGGUGAGUAACACGUGGAUAACCUACCUAUAAGACUGGGAUAACUUCGGGAAACCGGAGCUAAUACCGGAUAAUAUUUUGAACCGCAUGGUUCAAAAGUGAAAGACGGUCUUGCUGUCACUUAUAGAUGGAUCCGCGCUGCAUUAGCUAGUUGGUAAGGUAACGGCUUACCAAGGCAACGAUGCAUAGCCGACCUGAGAGGGUGAUCGGCCACACUGGAACUGAGACACGGUCCAGACUCCUACGGGAGGCAGCAGUAGGGAAUCUUCCGCAAUGGGCGAAAGCCUGACGGAGCAACGCCGCGUGAGUGAUGAAGGUCUUCGGAUCGUAAAACUCUGUUAUUAGGGAAGAACAUAUGUGUAAGUAACUGUGCACAUCUUGACGGUACCUAAUCAGAAAGCCACGGCUAACUACGUGCCAGCAGCCGCGGUAAUACGUAGGUGGCAAGCGUUAUCCGGAAUUAUUGGGCGUAAAGCGCGCGUAGGCGGUUUUUUAAGUCUGAUGUGAAAGCCCACGGCUCAACCGUGGAGGGUCAUUGGAAACUGGAAAACUUGAGUGCAGAAGAGGAAAGUGGAAUUCCAUGUGUAGCGGUGAAAUGCGCAGAGAUAUGGAGGAACACCAGUGGCGAAGGCGACUUUCUGGUCUGUAACUGACGCUGAUGUGCGAAAGCGUGGGGAUCAAACAGGAUUAGAUACCCUGGUAGUCCACGCCGUAAACGAUGAGUGCUAAGUGUUAGGGGGUUUCCGCCCCUUAGUGCUGCAGCUAACGCAUUAAGCACUCCGCCUGGGGAGUACGACCGCAAGGUUGAAACUCAAAGGAAUUGACGGGGACCCGCACAAGCGGUGGAGCAUGUGGUUUAAUUCGAAGCAACGCGAAGAACCUUACCAAAUCUUGACAUCCUUUGACAACUCUAGAGAUAGAGCUUUCCCCUUCGGGGGACAAAGUGACAGGUGGUGCGUGGUUGUCGUCAGCUCGUGUCGUGAGAUGUUGGGUUAAGUCCCGCAACGAGCGCAACCCUUAAGCUUAGUUGCCAUCAUUAAGUUGGGCACUCUAAGUUGACUGCCGGUGACAAACCGGAGGAAGGUGGGGAUGACGUCAAAUCAUCAUGCCCCUUAUGAUUUGGGCUACACACGUGCUACAAUGGACAAUACAAAGGGCAGCGAAACCGCGAGGUCAAGCAAAUCCCAUAAAGUUGUUCUCAGUUCGGAUUGUAGUCUGCAACUCGACUACAUGAAGCUGGAAUCGCUAGUAAUCGUAGAUCAGCAUGCUACGGUGAAUACGUUCCCGGGUCU